rnacentral:tRNA from 1 species
GCCCAAAUGGUGGAAUUGGUAGACACGCUAGUUUCAGGGACUAGUUCCGAAAGGUGUGCGGGUUCGAGUCCCGCUUUGGGUA